GCCUACGGCCAUCCCACCCUGGUAAACGCCCGAUCUCGUCUGAUCUCGGAAGCUAAGCAGGGUCGGGCCUGGUUAGUACUUGGAUGGGAGACCUCCUGGGAAUACCGGGUGCUGUAGGCU
ensembl:rRNA 5S_rRNA 5S ribosomal RNA